rnacentral:rRNA from 1 species
UACGGAGGGGGCUAGCGUUGUUCGGAAUUACUGGGCGUAAAGCGCGCGUAGGCGGCUUUGUAAGUUAGAGGUGAAAGCCCAGGGCUCAACCCUGGAAUUGCCUUUAAGACUGCAUCGCUUGAACAUCGGAGAGGUAAGUGGAAUUCCGAGUGUAGAGGUGAAAUUCGUAGAUAUUCGGAAGAACACCAGUGGCGGAAGGCGACUUACUGGACGAUUGUUGACGCUGAGGUGCGAAAGCGUGGGGAGCAAACAGG